GCGGAGGGUAGAGGAGGGCGUGCCGCGGGCGAGGGGGAGCUGGAUAUGAUCUGGCCCCCGAGCUAGGGCGCCGCGGGGCUCGGGGCUGCGGCGCUGUAGUGGUGCUGCGUAGCGGUCGUGGCGGGGCUGCAGCGGCGAGCGAGAGCGGCCUGGAGCAGUAGCCUAGUGGCGUCGGCAGGGGCUGAGGAGGAGCGGUCUUGCGGAGGAGGGGCUGGGCCGAAGGGGUGCGGAGAGCGGCGGGAGCGAAGGGAGGUAGCGGCUGGAGCUCUGGCGACGACUACGGGGAUACUAGCUGAUGCAGCUGCUGCUGGGGAGGAACGGUCUUGUUGGUC
rnacentral:rRNA from 1 species